rnacentral:rRNA from 1 species
AGACCCGAAACCCGGUGAUCUAGCCAUGGGCAGGUUGAAGGUUGGGUAACACUAACUGGAGGACCGAACCGACUAAUGUUGAAAAAUUAGCGGAUGACCUGUGGCUGGGGGUGAAAGGCCAAUCAAACCGGGAGAUAGCUGGUUCUCCCCGAAAGCUAUUUAGGUAGCGCCUCGUGAAUUCAUCUCCGGGGGUAGAGCACUGUUUCGGCUAGGGGGCCAUCCCGGCUUACCAACCCGAUGCAAACUGCGAAUACCGGAGAAUGUUAUCACGGGAGACACACGGCGGGUGCUAACGUCCGUCGUGAAGAGGGAAACAACCCAGACCGCCAGCUAAGGUCCCAAAGUCAUGGUUAAGUGGGAAACGAUGUGGGAAGGCCCAGACAGCCAGGAUGUUGGCUUAGAAGCAGCCAUCAUUUAAAGAAAGCGUAAUAGCUCACUGGUCGAGUCGGCCUGCGCGGAAGAUGUAACGGGGCUAAACCAUGCACCGAAGCUGCGGCAGCGAACGUAUCACCCAAGACAACUUUACGGAGUUGACGAUUGACGGAGCGAAGCGACGUCAAAGCGUUCAUUAAAGUCGAGUUGGCUUAGGGAUACGUUCGUUGGGUAGGGGAGCGUUCUGUAAGCCUGUGAAGGUGUGUCGUGAGGCAUGCUGGAGGUAUCAGAAGUGCGAAUGCUGACAUAAGUAACGAUAAAGCGGGUGAAAAGCCCGCUCGCCGGAAGACCAAGGGUUCCUGUCCAACGUUAAUCGGGGCAGGGUGAGUCGACCCCUAAGGCGAGGCCGAAAGGCGUAGUCGAUGGGAAACGGGUUAAUAUUCCCGUACUUGGUGUUACUGCGAAGGGGGGACGGAGAAGGCUAUGUUGGCCGGGCGACGGUUGUCCCGGUUUAAGCGUGUAGGUGUGUGUUCCAGGUAAAUCCGGUUCACUUUAACACUGAGGCGUGAUGACGAGGCACUACGGUGCUGAAGCAACAAAUGCCCUGCUUCCAGGAAAAGCCUCUAAGCAUCAGGUAACAUCAAAUCGUACCCCAAACCGACACAGGUGGUCAGGUAGAGAAUACCAAGGCGCUUGAGAGAACUCGGGUGAAGGAACUAGGCAAAAUGGUGCCGUAACUUCGGGAGAAGGCACGCUGACACGUAGGUGAAGUGAUUUACUCACGGAGCUGAAGUCAGUCGAAGA